rnacentral:misc_RNA from 1 species
UUUUUUUUUGGAUGGACAAGCAAUAGUUCUCGAGCGUUAACUACGUAAAACUGCAAGUGGAGGAAGUGGUCAAGUUGUAGGAGUUAGGCUGUUUCUUCAUUGAGACUGGAUCAAGCAAUCCUACUUAUUUUCUUUCACCAGGUGACUCUGAUGUUUGAAUCAUGCUCCAAUAAAGAGAGACUAUUUUUCUGAUGCUUUUUCGAGGAACAAAGAAAAUUUCGCUUGACAAGGAUGCGAUUGGAAAUCACGAAGCAAAUGGCAAAUACAGAGAUGCUGAAAAUUGUACAUAUUUAGCAUUUGCAUCAACUUCAGCUUUUUCUUUGAAAGUUUGAAUCCCAGGGCCCUGAAUGAAUGUAAGAGCUACGAGCCUUGGUGAAUGGCCCAAUGGUCUCCAAGGCGCAAUUGUAAACUAAAAAAGUUACAUGCAAGCUGACGUGGUCCAUGAAAUUUCUUGCAGGUAUGGG